GACGAACGCUGGCGGCGUGCCUAAUACAUGCAAGUCGAACGAGAGCGACCGGUGCUUGCACUGGUCAAUCUAGUGGCGAACGGGUGAGUAACACGUGGGUAACCUGCCCAUCAGAGGGGGAUAACAUCCGGAAACGGAUGCUAAAACCGCAUAGGUCUUCGAGCCGCAUGGCUUGAAGAGGAAAAGAGGCGCAAGCUUCUGCUGAUGGAUGGACCCGCGGUGCAUUAGCCAGUUGGUGAGGUAACGGCUCACCAAGGCCGUGAUGCAUAGCCGACCUGAGAGGGUGAUCGGCCACAUUGGGACUGAGACACGGCCCAAACUCCUACGGGAGGCAGCAGUAGGGAAUCUUCCGCAAUGGACGCAAGUCUGACGGAGCAACGCCGCGUGAGUGAAGAAGGUUUUCGGAUCGUAAAACUCUGUUGUUAGAGAAGAACAAGUGCUAGAGUAACUGUUAGCGCCUUGACGGUAUCUAACCAGAAAGCCACGGCUAACUACGUG
rnacentral:rRNA from 1 species